AUCUGUGCGGUUAAAUGAAAAUAAUAUUUCAGCAUUCCGACAUUUGCAUCCAGGAAAAAGAGGUUGGAGUAAAAAUGAAAACAAAAGCAGAGGAUGGAGGAGGAAAGCAGAAGCCCCUGCGCAGCAUUAGUCUCCGCCCAUCACUGGAAUUAUGUCGGCAAAUCCCUAUCUGCAAUUCAAUGUUCCUGGAAUUAAUCGGUGCAUCUUAUAAGAUUUGCUAAUUGAUGACAAGGAAAAAAGGCUACCCAGUCAGUAGCUUUUGAUACCAUUAAGAAGAAUGCUUGUCUUUGGUCAAAAAUCGACAAGCGAGUUUGUAUUGAACAAUCUUAUAAGGCAUUUCGUGAGGCAUUAUUGAGGCUUCCCCAAUGUUUCACUGAGACAUUGUACACUCAUAAAGGAUGCGCAGUAUUUUCAGAAGCAGGCUGAAGACAUAACAGUUGCAGUCAGCAAAGUUCGAGAAAAAUGAUGCCUUUUAUGAUGAUCAAGAAUCACGUAAAAGUUACAGCGAUGACGAAUCAUUAGUCUCCACAAGUAGGAAGAAGAGAACCAAGCUUUUACGAGAAAAAAGCACUGAAAAAUCUUGUUUGAUUUGCAACGAACGUUCAAGUUACGAUGCACUUCUAUACAAUGAUGGGGGACUGGCACGCUGUUCGGAAGAGAAAGCAGCACUCAAGUUGAAAACCUUGGUUGCCAAGAAGUUGUUAGAUGUUAAAUUUCAAAUUUAAUUUUCCUUUGUAAUAAAGCUUGUAUCUCGUGGCAUAUGAUUGGGGGGUACAUGAUAUGGAGGGGGUGCGACGAAAUUGAGCCCAGGGUGGGUAAGAAAUAAGUUUAGUGAGGUAAGAGGACCCAACAUGGCUGGGUCCGAUGUGAAAUUUUUUUUGAAGUUAUACCUUUUAAAAGGGCUAGAUGGCAGCGU